AAUAUUGGACAAUGGGGGCAACCCUGAUCCAGCCAUGCCGUGUGUGUGAAGAAGGUCUUCGGAUUGUAAAGCACUUUAAGGUGGGAGGAAGGGCUUUAGGCUAAUACCCUAAAGUUUUGACGUUACCAACAUAAUAAUCAUCCGCUAACUCCGUUGCAGCAGCCGCGGUAAUACAGAGGGUGCAAGCGUUAAUCGGAAUUACUGGGCGUAAAGCGCGCGUAGGUGGUUCAGUAAGAUGGGUGUGAAAUCCCCGGGCUUAACCUGGGAACUGCUUUCAUAACUGCUGAGCUAGAGUACGGUAGAGGGUAGUGGAAUUUCCUGUGUAGCGGUGAAAUGCGUAGAUAUAGGAAGGAACACCAGUGGCGAAGGCGACUACCUGGACUGAUACUGACACUGAGGUGCGAAAGCGUGGGGAGCAAAC
rnacentral:rRNA from 1 species